UCAGGCCUAACACAUGCAAGUCGAACGGUAACGCGGGGCAACCUGGCGACGAGUGGCGAACGGGUGAGUAAUGCAUCGGAACGUGCCCAGUAGUGGGGGAUAGCCCGGCGAAAGCCGGAUUAAUACCGCAUACGACCUAUGGGUGAAAGGGGGGGAUCGCAAGACCUCUCGCUAUUGGAGCGGCCGAUGUCAGAUUAGGUAGUUGGUGGGGUAAAGGCCUACCAAGCCGACGAUCUGUAGCUGGUCUGAGAGGACGACC
rnacentral:rRNA from 1 species